UCCAUCUUCAACAAUAUUUUGAUGUGAUCUUAUGGCAAAAAAGUUAAUGUGAUCUAUUUCUGUACUAAUACUACUUUAACCUUUGGCUUGUCGGUGAAAACAGUGGGCACGAAGCGCCAUGGGGGAGCUUGGUAGAGUGCAUAGUUGCACAUUAGUACUUCUACACGAAAACACAAACUGCUCUAGCCAUACAUGAGGACGAUAAUUGCAUGAUUGUUUAUAGCUCAAUCCAGUACACUGAGGAAACCGAAAUUCAUAUUGCAAAUGUCUCGGUUUACCUUGUCACAAUGUUCAUGUUAUCACUAGAAGAAUUGGCACUGACUUUGGUGGAUAAAUUUUUAGAUCAUUACCGGCUUCGUUGAUUGUGGCAAGCGAUCGUUGAUAAAUACAACAAAGGUCAUCGGGUACGGCAGACAUUGUUCGGUUGAGAAGGCCUGGGCAUGGGACAUCAGGAGCGACCCACACACUGGCGUAAGGAUGUGACGAUGGGGACAUCAAGUGCAGCUGUACCAGCCAAAAGACCUCACUCCAUUUCUCCAAACUGGCAUGCGAUUCUUAAGAUGUUCCCAUUCAGAAUUGACAUGCGGCCAUCUUCUCUCUACUGUUACUCAAGUUUUUGUCAGCUUGUUCAUUUCUUGAUUGGUGCUUGACAUCACUGGUGCAUGUGGGAAUGCCCUACAGACUGAUGGACAUGAAUCAUAGGAACUGUCGAAGCAUGAAGGGAACAACAAGAUGAACUGGCUUUUAUCGGCAUUCUUGUGUACAUUGAAGAUUUUGGGGCAUUUGGUUGCAUCUGAACUGUCUCUAUUUGAACCUUAGAUUGACGAGUGAUUUGUUGCAUUCUUCACUUGCACAACCUAUCUCUAUUUGAACUAACU